rnacentral:tRNA from 1 species
GAGGGUAUAGCUCAAGUGGUAGAGCACAUGCUUAACAUGCUUGAGGCCUUGGGUUCAAUCCCCAGUACCUCCU